rnacentral:rRNA from 1 species
UACGUAGGGUGCGAGCGUUAAUCGGAAUUACUGGGCGUAAAGCGUGCGCAGGCGGUUUUGUAAGCCAGGUGUGAAAUCCCCGGGCUCAACCUGGGAAUGGCAUUUGGGACUGCAAGGCUGGAGUGCGGCAGAGGAGACUGGAAUUCCUGGUGUAGCAGUGAAAUGCGUAGAUAUCAGGAGGAACACCGAUGGCGAAGGCAGGUCUCUGGGCUGACACUGACGCUCAUGCACGAAAGCGUGGG